rnacentral:lncRNA from 1 species
GACCACAGAUUAAGGAAGCCAUCGAGCUUGGAAAACUUUUCCGCCCGCUGAGACCUGCGUCUCCUUCUCUGUGUCGAUCUCAUCAAGAAGAGCGGCUGCCUCCGUUCGGCAGGUCUUUUUCGAGAAAAAGCUGCCUGUGGUCCUUUUCUGGGACCUUUCUGUGGUUUCUCAUAGGAAAGGAUUCGAACGUCUGUUAGUUCUUCCAUACCCCAUAAAUCCUCGGCAGAUCUCGAAGUUAUUUUCUGCAUAGCUCUCUCUCUUUCCUUCCUCUGCUAGCCCUUUGCUUCAGCAUAUCUUUCAGACGUUUUGGACCGCCAUGGGAGGCACCCUGGAGUACUUUUCUGGCUUGCUGGGCAGUGGUCACGAGAAGCACAAGAGGAAGAAGCAGUUGCAGACCGUGGAGCUCAAGGUC